UCGAGCGCGAUACACCUUGUAGCAAUACGAGGUGUGUUGAGCGGCGCAAGGGUGCGUAACACGUGGGCAAUCUGCCGUGAAGUUUGGGAUAACUCGCUGAAAGGCGAGCUAAUACCGAAUGUGAAAAUCGAGUGGCAUCAUUUGAUUUUUGAAGUUGGGGACCGUAAGGCCUGACGCUUCACGAUGAGCCCGCGGCCUAUCAGCUAGUUGGUGAGGUAACGGCUCACCAAGGCUAAGACGGGUAGCUGGUCUGAGAGGACGACCAGCCACACUGGAACUGAGACACGGUCCAGACACCUACGGGUGGCAGCAGUCGAGAAUUUUUCACAAUGGGGGAAACCCUGAUGGAGCGACGCCGCGUGGGGGAUGAAGGGCUUCGGCUCGUAAACCCCUGUCAGCCGCGAACAAUGCUUACGAUCUAAUACGUCGUGAGUUGAUUGUAGUGGCAGAGGAAGGGACGGCUAACUCUGUGCCAGCAGCCGCGGUAAUACAGAGGUCCCAAGCGUUG
rnacentral:rRNA from 1 species